rnacentral:rRNA from 1 species
AUUGAACGCUGGCGGCAGGCCUAACACAUGCAAGUCGAGCGGAUGAAGGGAGCUUGCUCCUGGAUUCAGCGGCGGACGGGUGAGUAAUGCCUAGGAAUCUGCCUGGUAGUGGGGGAUAACGUCCGGAAACGGGCGCUAAUAUCGCAUACGUCCUGAGGGAGAAAGUGGGGGAUCUUCGGACCUCACGCUAUCAGAUGAGCCUAGGUCGGAUUAGCUAGUUGGUGGGGUAAAGGCCUACCAAGGCGACGAUCCGUAACUGGUCUGAGAGGAUGAUCAGUCACACUGGAACUGAGACACGGUCCAGACUCCUACGGGAGGCAGCAGUAGGGAAUAUUGGACAAUGGGCGAAAGCCUGAUGCAGCCAUGCCGCGUGUGUGAAGAAGGUCUUCGGAUUGUAAAGCACUUUAAGUUGGGAAGAAGGGCAGUGAGUGAAUACCUUGCUGUUUUGACGUUACCAACAGAAAAAGCACCGGCUAACUACGUG